CAUUUUUUUUUUUCUAUUCACUCAUGAUCUGGCCUGGUCGACCCAAUCAUGAUAUUGAAGGAGGGGACCUUUUCUCGAAAAAAAAAAUUCUUGCAACUACGAAAACCACAACACAAGCACCCCUUUUCCAUUCAUUCUAUCUAAGAAAAAGAAUUCAGCAUAGACCACGACCCCCCCAUUUUUGCAUUUCUUUAUCUAUAUUA
rnacentral:lncRNA from 1 species